UGGAGACCAGUGGGGACGUGGAAAUCUGUCUUGAGUCCGCAGCCGGGACCCGGUAGCCUCGUCUUUCUUGUGUUUUUACAGCCGUUAAUCCGAAGCAGAACCGAAAGGGGAACCUGAGCGUUUCUGGACUGUUUGUUGUUUGUCAGCUAAUUUUUUUUAUGUUUGCGUUCAUGUGAGAAGCAGCGAAGAAAAGGGAAGCAUGAAACUUAAAGAGAUCAACCGCACAGCCAUCCAGAGCUGGAGUCCUGCGCAGCACCACCCCAUCUACCUUGCAGCAGGAACAUCAGCCCAGCAGCUGGACGCCUCCUUCAGCACCAAUGCCUCCUUGGAGUUUUUCGAGCUGGACUUGACCGAUCCGUCUC